rnacentral:piRNA from 1 species
UGCAGCCUAUAGCUAGACAGAAGAGAGU